GCAUAUCAAUAAGCGGAGGAAAAGAAACCAACAGGGAUUGCCCCAGUAACGGCGAAGUGAAGCGGCAACAGCUCAAAUUUGAAAUCUGGCUCUCGGGCCCGAGUUUGUAAUUUGUAGAGGAUGCUUUUGGUGAGGUGCCUUCCGAGUUCCCUGGAACGGGACGCCAUAGAGGGUGAGAGCCCCGUCUGGUUGGACACCGAUCCUCUGUAAAGCUCCUUCGACGAGUCGAGUAGUUUGGGAAUGCUGCUCUAAAUGGGAGGUAUAUGUCUUCUAAAGCUAAAUACCGGCCAGAGACCGAUAGCGCACAAGUAGAGUGAUCGAAAGAUGAAAAGAACUUUGAAAAGAGAGUUAAACAGUACGUGAAAUUGUUGAAAGGGAAGCGCUUGUGACCAGACUUGGGCUUGGUUGAUCAUCCGGGGUUCUCCCCGGUGCACUCUUCCGGCCCAGGCCAGCAUCAGUUCGCCCUGGGGGACAAAGGCUUCGGGAAUGUGGCUCUCUCCGGGGAGUGUUAUAGCCCGUUGCGUAAUACCCUGUGGCGGACUGAGGUUCGCGCAUUCGCAAGGAUGCUGGCGUAAUGGUCAUCAGUGACCCGUCUUGAAACACGGACCAAGGAGUCGUCUUCGUAUGCGAGUGUUCGGGUGUCAAACCCCUACGCGAAAUGAAAGUGAACGCAGGUGAGAGCUUCGGCGCAUCAUCGACCGAUCCUGAUGUUAUCGGAUGGAUUUGAGUAAGAGCAUACGGGGCCGGACCCGAAAGAAGGUGAACUAUGCCUGUGUAGGGUGAAGCCAGAGGAAAACUCUGGUGGAGGCUCGCAGCGGUUCUGACGUGCAAAUCGAUCGUCAAACAUGGGCAUGGGGGCGAAAGACUAAUCGAACCUUCUAGUAGCUGGUUUCCGCGA
rnacentral:rRNA from 1 species